rnacentral:piRNA from 1 species
AACCGAAGGACGGAGAUCGAAGAC